GGCUGCCGGGUGAGCCCACCCGGGGGUCGCCCGGGCCGGCCCAGCUCCGCCAGAUUCGGGCUGCGGUCUUCCCUCCGCUUGCAGUUGGGAGGGUGGGCGUGCCCUUGCAACCCCUUUCCUGUACCUUCUCUGCAGAGAUCUGUUGGUAAUCUGAGGAUUUUUAUUCCACGUCGUCUUGACAGAUGGAAAACCUGAAGUAACUUCGGGCUAACCUUGUGUUUUUGGAAAAUUAGUAGGCUUGGUGGUGAAGAAACUGGGAGGAGUAGGAUAUUAGCUAACUUUGCAUAGCCACAUAGAGAGCGUCGCAGCUGCAUUCCACCAAAGAGGAACCAAAAAGCAUGUGGUGUUCCCAGGGUACAUAUUCAUGCCAGAAGUGAAGUGCCUUGGUGAAUUCGUUUCCUGAAAGUUUAUCGCAUACUUGUACUGGGUUAGCCUUAUGCCAGCCUGGACCAUCUUGGAGGCAGUGUAGGAUCAUGGAAGAACUUUGAAUUAGGUUUUUAGAACUUCAGCCAUAAAAAUGGGCAGAAUUUUCCUUGAUCAUAUCGGUGGUACCCGUCUGUUUUCUUGUGCAAACUGUGAUACGAUCCUGACCAACCGCUCAGAACUCAUCUCCACUCGUUUCACAGGCGCCACUGGCAGAGCAUUUCUUUUUAACAAGGUAGUUAACCUGCAGUACAGUGAAGUUCAAGAUCGGGUCAUGCUCACUGGCCGCCACAUGGUUCGAGAUGUGAGCUGCAAAAACUGCAAUAGCAAACUGGGAUGGAUCUAUGAGUUUGCCACUGAAGAC
rnacentral:sRNA from 1 species